GAUGUUUUCACGAAGGAAACAAAUUCUAAUGUGUGACAAAGCACACCGUUUCUUCGUUGUCCGAAGAUAUUCACACACCCAGCAUUGAGUAUAUAGACAUCAAUCAUAAAACCGAUCACUGGCCGGAGCCCCUAAAUCUGAGUUAAGUAUAAUAAUAUUCAUGCAGUGUCGAGAUAUCAUAAGCCAUCAUGGCCAAACAAAUUUCAAGGCUUUGCUCUUUUGUAUUAUUAUACA
rnacentral:misc_RNA from 1 species